UACGGGGGGGGCAAGCGUUGUUCGGAAUCACUGGGCGUAAAGGGCGCGUAGGCGGCUUUGUAAGUCGGGGGUGAAAGCCUGUGGCUCAACCACAGAAUUGCCUUCGAUACUGCAUGGCUUGAGACCGGAAGAGGUAAGUGGAACUGCGAGUGUAGAGGUGAAAUUCGUAGAUAUUCGCAAGAACACCAGUGGCGAAGGCGGCUUACUGGUCCGGAUCUGACGCUGAGGCGCGAAAGCGUGGGGAGCAAACAGG
rnacentral:rRNA from 1 species